rnacentral:rRNA from 1 species
GACGUAGGGCGCGAGCGUUGUUCGGAUUCAUUGGGCGUAAAGGGUGCGUAGGCGGCGCGGUAAGUCGGGUGUGAAAUCGUCGGGCUUAACUCCGAAACUGCAUUCGAUACUGCCGUGCUUGAGGACUGGAGAGGAGACUGGAAUUUACGGUGUAGCGGUGAAAUGCGUAGAUAUCGUAAGGAAGACCAGUGGCGAAGGCGGGUCUCUGGACAGUUCCUGACGCUGAGGCACGAAGGCCAGGGAGCAAACGGG